rnacentral:rRNA from 1 species
CUAGCAUAUCAAUAAGCGGAGGAAAAGAAACUAACAAGGAUUCCCCUAGUAACUGCGAGUGAAGCGGGAAGAGCUCAAAUUUGAAAUCUGGCGGCUCCGCCGUCCGAGUUGUAACCUGGAGAAGCGUUUUCCGUGCCGGACCGUGUACAAGUCCCUUGGAACAGGGCGUCAUAGAGGGUGAGAAUCCCGUCUUUGACACGGACCCCCGGUGCUCUGUGAUGCGCUCUCGAAGAGUCGAGUUGUUUGGGAAUGCAGCUCAAAACGGGUGGUAAAUUCCAUCUAAAGCUAAAUAUUGGCGAGAGACCGAUAGCGAACAAGUACCGUGAGGGAAAGAUGAAAAGCACUUUGGAAAGAGAGUAAAACAGUACGUGAAAUUGUUGAAAGGGAAACGCUUGAAGUCAGUCGCGUCUGUCGGGACUCAGCUCCGCUCUGCGGGGUGCACUUCCCGACCGACGGGUCAGCAUCGGUUUUCGGGGGCGGACAAAGGCGGGAGGAAGGUGGCAGCUCCGGCUGUGUUAUAGCCUCCCGUUGUACGCGUCCCCGGGGACCGAGGAAUCCGGCGCUCGCGCCUGGGAUGCUGGCGUAAUGGCUUUAAGCGACCCGUCUUGAAACACGGACCAAGGAGUGCUACACGCUCGCGAGUGUUUGGGUGGAAAACCCGGACGCGAAAUGAAAGUGAAAGUCGAGACCCUUUGCGGGGGCACCGACGCCCGAGCCUGACGUUUUCUGAAGGCCUUGCGGUAGAGCGAGCGCGUUGCGACCCGAAAGAUGGUGAACUAUUCCUGAGGAGGGCGAAGCCAGAGGAAACUCUGGUGGAGGCUCGUAGCGGUUCUGACGUGCAAAUCGAUCGCAGGACUUGGGUAUAGGGGCGAAAGACUAAUCGAACCAUCUAGUAGCUGGUUCCUGCCGAU